CGCAUCAAAAGUUGGGUGGGAAAUAGUCCUUCUCCCAAUUUCUGGCCAUACAAAAUGUAGAUUGUAACUGGCUUCUUGUUUUAUAAAUCACAGUAAAUCAUUUUUUUGUAGUCUUUCUUUGGCUUACCGAACGGCGGUUACUAUGUAAGUCAUCCAUUUUUGUCACAACUUUACCACCUAACUUUAAGAAUUCUGGAUCCUUCCCCUGUUUUCUUUCCGAGAAAAAUAGAAAAGAGAAAAACUCCGCUUCACUUCUUUUCUCAGCUACAGAAAAUUCAGGAUUAUGGGAAGUAUAGCGAUUAAUCAUGAGAUGUCCAAGGAGCUGGCUCGGGAGUUAUUGAUCUCGAUUUCUUCUACUUUACCUGAUAACGUUGUGGAUUUGGAUAAAUUUCUUUCAAGUUUUGAGAGGCCUAAUGGGGUCGUUGUUGCGGCAAAAGAUGAUCGAGCUGAAAAAUACAGGUCGGACUUGAUCUCAAUUUCCUAUGCUCAAUCACCUGAUGUUAAAUGACAAUAGCUGAAUUUGGGGAAGAACGAGACUCUGUUGUUUGUGAGUCGUUAUGUUCAUGUAGAAUCCCUGUGAUGUAUUUGUAGAUAAGGUGCGAUGUGUAAAGCGAGCGUGCUAUGGUGUGAUGGCCGUGUGAAUAUUUUUGGUGUUGAUAUUGGGUUAGGUUGUUGUGUCUUUGUGAGUCUAAUUAUUGAAACAUACAUCCCAGUUUGUUGUAUAUAUGUAUACCAUUUCAGUGUGGUUAUAGCGAAAGAUAUUGUGAAUAA